CCAGCACCCCGAGUGGUCGGGACGAUUAUUGGGCCUAAAACAUCCGUAGCCGGCCUUACAAGUCCUCCGUUAAAUCCAGCUGCUUAACAGAUGGGCUGCGGAGGAUACUAUAAGACUAGGAGGCAGGAGAGGCAAGCGGUACUCAGUGGGUAGGGGUAAAAUCCGUUGAUCCAUUGAAGACCACCAGUGGCGAAGGCGGCUUGCCAGAAUGCGCUCGACGGUGAGGGAUGAAAGCUGGGGGAGCAAACCGGAUUAGAUACCCGGGUAGUCCCAGCUGUAAACGAUGCAGACUCGGUGAUGGACUAGCUUUAUGCUGGUCCAGUGCCGCAGGGAAGCCGUUAAGUCUGCCGCCUGGGUAGUACGGUCGCAAGACUG
rnacentral:rRNA from 1 species